ACGCUCGACACCUACGGGGGGCAGCAGUGGGGAAUAUUGCACAAUGGGGGAAACCCUGAUGCAGCGACGCCGCGUGGAGGAAGAAGGUCUUCGGAUUGUAAACUCCUGUUGUUGGGGAAAAAGAGGAUGGUACCCAACAAGGAAGUGACGGCUAACUACGUGCCCGCAGCCGCGGUAAUCUGAGCGGGCUGGCAAGGC
rnacentral:rRNA from 1 species